UGACAACGGCGAAGGCCGAGCCUAGCAACCCGGGCGGCGGAUCGCCGUCCUUGCGAAAUGCUCGUU
rnacentral:misc_RNA from 1 species